CUCACCAGGGACUAGGGGAAUUUAGUUGUUUUUUUUUUUUAAAGGGUUGACACAGUAAUUGGUACCAUUUCACAUUUUGACACCCGAAGACUCUUAGAUGUCAAACACAGCUUAUCUCCUUUUAUUUCUUUGUUAUAAGACUAUUUUAAAAACACACUCUUCUAGCUAUUUUAAAGUAUAAAAUUGCUAUGGUUUCCACUGGUCAUGGACCAGUGAUUCUGCUAAUUUCUUGCUUCUGAUUCUUGCCAAAUGCAGAUCAGCUGAGUUCAUACUCCAGACCCGGGCGUCACUAGGAGUUUUCAUAAGGCUAAAACAAUACUGUCUUAGAGAACUAUCCAAAGACCAUCCAAUUGCAAGUGAGGUUGUUGUGGUCUUGAAAUACUUUACAUCAGUGCUCUCAAUUUCAUUGGCCAAUAGCUGUCUUCUCAUCUAACCCACAGGCGAGUUCUAGACAAGUGACAAAUGACAAAUGUAUUUUUUAAAGGGUCAGAGAGCACAUAUUUUGGA